UACCUGGUUUGACCUGCCAGUAGUCACACGCUCGUCUCAAAGAUUAAGCCAUGCAUGUGUAAGUUUACAUACUGAACUUUGAAACUGCGAAUGGCUCAUUAUAUCAGUUAUAGUUUAUUUGGUAGUCUCUUACUACUUGGAUACCCGUAGUAAUUCUAGAGCUAAUACAUGCGUCAACACCCGACUUUUGGAAGGGUGGUAUUUAUUAGAUUGAAACCAACUCGCUUCGGCGGUGUAAUGGUGAUUCAUAAUAACUUUGCGAAUCGCAUGGCUUCGGCUGGCGAUGGACCAUUCAAGUUUCUGCCCUAUCAGCUUUGACGGUAGUGUAUUGGACUACCGUGGCUUUAACGGGUAACGGAGGAUUAGGGUUUGAUUCCGGAGAGGAGCCUGAGAA
rnacentral:rRNA from 1 species